AGAGAAUUGAGGUCAUAGGGCAAACCUUUAUUCUCAGAAUCAGAGAGGCAAACAGGCAGAUACAAAGAAUCAGAAGCCCAGGAAUGGAAAACUCCCUGAGCCAAGCUAGGAUAGGAAAUCAGGAUCUGUAAUCGACAAAUAGCUGGAGGCUCAGUGUGGACAAGACUGAGAGAGAAAAACUUCACUGGGGCUCAGUCUUCGCUUCAUAGAGAUGAAUAUGACACUUUUGAAAGGUGUAUAUUGAAGAUGUUUUGGAAACCAUGUGUUGAUGAUGGUAGAAUUCAAAGAAGGAAGAGGUCUGGGUACUCGAUCUACCAUAUACAGUGGAUCUGGCAUCCAAUCAGGAAGACUUGCCACCCAUACCAGACCAUUUGGUGAGCAAAACACAUAAAUUUUUACUUUUGAAGCUAUUGAUAUUUGGGGGGUCAGU
rnacentral:lncRNA from 1 species